CUGGUAAGGGGAGGAUCAUCAUGGAGGAGGAAUCUUGAGGAGUAUGGAGGAGAGAAUCAUGAAGCAGGAUCCUGGGGAAAGAGAAUCACUGCUGCAAGCGCUCAUGCGACUCAGAGAAGAGGCUCCCCCAUCCCAGGACCAGCUGAGCUGUCACCUGCCAUCACCUUCCCACAGAAAGGCCACACUGAAUGUGUGAGGAUAAGGCUGCACACAGAAGAAUGUCCUGCCUGCAUCCCAGAUGGCUGCCAUCCCCACACAAAUGGUAUCACUAAAACUGUGCUGGACCUGAAAGACCAGUUCCUGUCCAGUUCCAGCACCCUGCUGUAACAAAACCAGGACAUCUGAGGCUGCUUAAGGAAACCAGUCUGGCUCUGGGAUAAAAUCAGCUGCGUGAGCCCACACAGGAAUGCAGCUAGAGAGAGGGACCUACCAGGGUUUGCCACUUGGGGAUGUCCAGUCUGCUGCUCCAGCACCCCAUGUGCGUGGAUGGAGUAGGGUCGUGAGGCAUUGUUCUUGAACACGAUGUUGAGAAUGUCGCCCACUUCCGCCCACAGAAAAGGGCCUUGAGACAGGAAUAGUGUACUCUGAGACCAGCAAAAUCCAUCAGCAUAUCUCCUGAGAUAUUCCCACCCCUCUCUCAACGUCUUCUCCCCAGAAAUACUACCUUACAAUAUUUAUGAUGUCCCCCUUCCUCUUCUCUGCCUCCCAAAAAGAGAGCUGGAUGUCAGUCCCAACCCAAGUCUUAGGGAACUGGAGUGAUUUUCACAAGGAGAACAAUGAAGGUUACACAUCUUAACUGGGCACAGCACAGCUAUGGCUUGAUUUCUGAAUAUUGUUAUGCUAAAUGUCACAUGCUGAUCACCCCUUGC